GCAGCUCGGUCCCUUCGCACUGCUUGGGGUGGCUUCAGCCUCCGGACAACUGCGUUGAUUCCCAGGUGGAACUGGAACAGGGGGGAAGCAGGAAAGAGAGAAAGAAAGGUGCACAGUCAAGCAACACGUCUUCGUGCGUAUCGCUCAAUGGCAUUACGUGCGUUCACACUGUGGCGCAAUCCUUACCACUGUUCAUCUCCAGAACUUUUUUCACCUUGCAAAAUGAAACUUCACACCCAUAAAGCAACAAUUCCCCGCCAGCAUCUGCCUUCCUUUUCAAUCCAGACCGGCCACAGUGACAAUGGAAACAUGUCUCUAUUUCUUCCUCAGUGGGGGAAGAGAACAUCUCCUUGUGAAGAUAGUUUCAU